UACAACAGAUAUUCAAAGGAAGGAGAAACUUGUUCAACCCUUUGAUACAACAAUCUCAAGAUACUACAUAUAACAGAUAUUCAAGGGAAGGAGAAGCAUUUUCAACUUUUAUCGCAGCGACAACAUAGGUAAUACUAAAUUCAGCAAACAUGAAGAAUAGGGAAGCAUCGUCUUGAUUCGUGCAGAUCGGCAGAGGAUGGAAUAAUUGCUCUUCAACAUCAGCUUUCCACCUCCUGAAAUAUCAAAAGUACAUAACAGUUAACAAGCACCUGAGUGAUAAUUUCACAUUAUGACUAGUAAAAACAGUUUAUAUGUGAGCAACAAGGAAAAUCAGCAAAACCAAAUAGUACAGUUGUCCCAAUC
rnacentral:lncRNA from 1 species